rnacentral:rRNA from 1 species
AACGAACGCUGGCGGCAUGCCUAACACAUGCAAGUCGAACGAGACCUUCGGGUCUAGUGGCGCACGGGUGCGUAACGCGUGGGAACCUGCCCUUAGGUUCGGAAUAACUCCCCGAAAGGGGUGCUAAUACCGGAUAAUGUCUUCGGACCAAAGAUGUAUCGCCUUGGGAUGGGCCCGCGUUGGAUUAGCUAGUUGGUAGGGUAAAAGCCUACCAAGGCGACGAUCCAUAGCUGGUCUGAGAGGAUGAUCAGCCACACUGGGACUGAGACACGGCCCAGACUCCGACGGGAGGGAGCAGUGGGGAAUACUGGAGGAGGGGCGAAAGCGUGAUACAGCAAUGCCGGGUGAGUGAUGAAGGGCUUAGGGUUGUAAAGCUGUUUUACCCGGGAUGAGAAUGACAGUACCGGGAGAAUAAGCUCCGGCUAACUACGUG